rnacentral:rRNA from 1 species
UACGUAGGGUGCGAGCGUUAAUCGGAAUUACUGGGCGUAAAGCGUGCGCAGGCGGUUUUGUAAGCCAGAUGUGAAAUCCCCGGGCUUAACCUGGGAAUGGCAUUUGGGACUGCAAGGCUGGAGUGUGGCAGAGGAGACUGGAAUUCCGCGUGUAGCAGUGAAAUGCGUAGAUAUGCGGAGGAACACCGAUGGCGAAGGCAAUCCCCUGGGCCUGUACUGACGCUCAUGCACGAAAGCGUGGGGAGCAAACAGG